rnacentral:rRNA from 1 species
AUUGAACGCUGGCGGCAGGCCUAACACAUGCAAGUCGAACGAGCGUCGGACAGGUGAGUAAUGUCUGGGAAACUGCCUGAUGUAGGGGGAUAACAACUGGAAACGGUAGCUAAUACCGCAUACCCUCAGAUGUGCCCAGAUGGGAUGGGCUGGUAGGUGGGGUAACGGCUCCCCUAGGCGACGAUCCCUAGCUGGUCUGCGAGGAUGACCAGCCAGACUGGAACUGAGACACGGUCCAGACUCCUACGGGAGGCAGCAGUGGGGAAUAUUGGACAAUGGGCGCAAGCCUGAUGCAGCCAGGCCGCGUGUGGGAAGAAGGCCUUCGGGUUGUAAAGCACUUUCAGCGGGGAGGCGUUACCCGCAGAAGAAGCACCGGCUAACUCCGUGCCAGCAGCCGCGGUAAUAC